rnacentral:rRNA from 1 species
GAUGAACGCUGGCGGCGUGCUUAACACAUGCAAGUCGAACGGUGAACGAGGGAGCUUGCUCCCUCCGGAACAGUGGCGAACGGGUGAGUAACACGUGAGCAAUCUGCCCUGGACUCUGGGAUAAGCGUUGGAAACGACGUCUAAUACCGGAUACGAGACGCGAAGGCAUCUUCAGCGUCUGGAAAGAACGUCGGUCCAGGAUGAGCUCGCGGCCUAUCAGGUAGUAGGUGAGGUAACGGCUCACCAAGCCUACGACGGGUAGCCGGCCUGAGAGGGUGACCGGCCACACUGGGACUGAGACACGGCCCAGACUCCUACGGGAGGCAGCAGUGGGGAAUAUUGCACAAUGGGCGCAAGCCUGAUGCAGCAACGCCGCGUGAGGGACGACGGCCUUCGGGUUGUAAACCUCUUUUAGCAGGGAAGAAGCGAAAGUGACGGUACCUGCAGAAAAAGCACCGGCUAACUACGUGCCAGCCGCCGCCGUAAAAC